rnacentral:rRNA from 1 species
AGAGUUUGAUCCUGGCUCAGGACGAACGCUGGCGGCGUGCCUAAUACAUGCAAGUCGAGCGAAUCUUUGGGAGCUUGCUCCCAAAGGUUAGCGGCGGACGGGUGAGUAACACGUGGGCAACCUGCCUGUAAGACUGGGAUAACUUCGGGAAACCGGAGCUAAUACCGGAUAAUCCAUUUCCUCUCAUGAGGAAAUGCUGAAAGUCGGUUUCGGCUGACACUUACAGAUGGGCCCGCGGCGCAUUAGCUAGUUGGUGAGGUAACGGCUCACCAAGGCGACGAUGCGUAGCCGACCUGAGAGGGUGAUCGGCCACACUGGGACUGAGACACGGCCCAGACUCCUACGGGAGGCAGCAGUAGGGAAUCUUCCACAAUGGACGAAAGUCUGAUGGAGCAACGCCGCGUGAGCGAUGAAGGCCUUCGGGUCGUAAAGCUCUGUUGUUAGGGAAGAACAAGUACCGGAGUAACUGCCGGUACCUUGACGGUACCUAACCAGAAAGCCACGGCUAACUACGUGCCAGCAGCCGCGGUAAUACGUAGGUGGCAAGCGUUGUCCGGAAUUAUUGGGCGUAAAGCGCGCGCAGGCGGUCCUUUAAGUCUGAUGUGAAAGCCCACGGCUCAACCGUGGAGGGUCAUUGGAAACUGAGGGACUUGAGUGCAGAAGAGGAAAGCGGAAUUCCACGUGUAGCGGUGAAACGCGUAGAGAUGUGGAGGAACACCAGUGGCGAAGGCGGCUUUCUGGUCUGUAACUGACGCUGAGGCGCGAAAGCGUGGGGAGCAAACAGGAUUAGAUACCCCGGUAGUCC